CAGUAGCCACGGUAAUACGAAGGGUGCAAGCGUUACUCGGAAUUACUGGGCGUAAAGCGUGCGUAGGUGGCGGUUUAAGUCCGUUGUGAAAGCCCUGGGCUCAACCUGGGAAUUGCAGUGGAUACUGGCUGGCUAGAGUGUGUCAGAGGAUGGUGGAAUUUCCGGUGUAGAGGUGAAAUUCGUAGAUAUUGGAAAGAACACCGGUGGCGAAGGCGGCGACCUGGUCUUCAACUGACGCUGAGGUGCGAAAGCGUGAGGAGCAAACAGGAUUAGAUACCCCCGUAGUCCCUGUCUCUUAUAC
rnacentral:rRNA from 1 species